GUGAAUCAUCGAAUCUUUGAGCGCAAAUUGCACUCUCUGGUAUUCCGGAAAGUAUGCCUGUUUGAGGGUCAGUAAAAUAAACAUCGGUGUUGUUGUUGCCUUUCGUGUUGACGCGUCGGAUUUGAGUCGUCUUACCUUCGGUUUAGCUUCUUAAAAUUUUUGCAUGAUUUUCGAGCGUAUUUUAAUCGUUUACGUAUGUUUGAGAUAUC
rnacentral:misc_RNA from 1 species